rnacentral:tRNA from 1 species
GGAAGCACUGUGACUCAGUGGCAGAGCACCUGCCUCAUAUGCAGAAGGCCCCAGGUUCUAUCCCCAGCAUCUCCA